GGGGAAUAUUGCACAAUGGGCGAAAGCCUGAUGCAGCAACGCCGCGUGAGUGAUGAAGGUCUUCGGAUUGUAAAGCUCUGUCUUUUGGGACGAUAAUGACGGUACCAAAGGAGGAAGCCACGGCUAACUACGUGCCAGCAGCCGCGGUAAUACGUAGGUGGCAAGCGUUGUCCGGAUUUACUGGGCGUAAAGGGUGCGUAGGCGGAUGUUUAAGUGAGAUGUGAAAUACCCGGGCUUAACCUGGGUACUGCAUUUCAAACUGGAUAUCUAGAGUGCAGGAGAGGAGAAUGGAAUUCCUAGUGUAGCGGUGAAAUGCGUAGAGAUUAGGAAGAACACCAGUGGCGAAGGCGAUUCUCUGGACUGUAACUGACGCUGAGGCACGAAAGCGUGGGUAGCAAAC
rnacentral:rRNA from 1 species